rnacentral:rRNA from 1 species
UCCCUCCGAAGUUCCCUCAGGAUAGCUGGAACUUACGGCAGUUUUAUCAGGUAAAGCGAAUGAUUAGAGGUCUUAGGGUUAAAACAACCUUAACCUAUUCUCAAACUUUAAAUUGGUAAGAAGUCCGACUUGCUUAAUUGAAGCCGGACAGAGAAUGCAAGUUCCUAGUGGGCCAUUUUUGGUAAGCAGAACUGGCGAUGCGGGAUGAACCGAACGCGCGGUUAAGGUGCCAAAGUCGACGCUCAUCAGACCCCACAAAAGGUGUUGGUUGCUCUAGACAGCAGGACGGUGGCCAUGGAAGUUGGAAUCCGCUAAGGAGUGUGUAACAACUCACCUGCCGAAGCAACUAGCCCUGAAAAUGGAUGGCGCUCAAGCGUCGCACCUAUACCGUGCCGUCGGAGCAGAUGCAAAGCUCCGACGAGUAGGAGGGCGUGGGGGUCGUGACGCAGCCUCUGGCGCGAGCCUGGGUGAAACGGCCUCCAGUG